UUUGCUAGGUGGUUGCUAAGGUGUUGCUAUGCUAUCCAGGGUGGUUGCUAAGGUGUUGCUAGGUGGUUGCUAAGGUGUUGCUAUGGUGUCUGUGGUGGUUGCUAAGGUGUUGCUAGGUGGUUGCUAAGAUGUUGCUAUGGUAUCUGGGGUGGUUGCUAAGGUGUUGCUAGGUGUAUCUGACUGGUCGCUAGGCAGUUGCUACCAUUUCUAAAGUGGUUGCUAAGCAGUUGCUAACGUUUUCCAGGUGGUUGCUAAGGUGUUGCUAUCUGGUUGCUAGGCAGUUGCUAACGUAUUACACAUGGUUGCUAAGUGGUUGCUAGGCAGUUGCUAAUGUUUUCCAGGUGGUUGCUAAGGUGUAUCUAACUGGUUGCUAGGCAGUAGUAGAUAAAAAGAAAGAGUGUUAAAUGUAGAAGUACAGAAAAAGGGAGAGCCUGAAAUAGAGAAGUAGAGAGAAAAUCAGCGUGAGAAGUAGAGAAAGAACACCCGAGAAUAUGAGAAAAAGAGUGACAAGUAGAGAGAAAUAUUGAGCGAGAGAAAGAGAAUUAGGGAAAAAGAGAGAUCGAGAAAUAAAGAAGUAGAGAAAGAAAGAGGAUGUAGUAGAGAGAUAGAUAGAAAGAGAAAGCAAGACAGAA